CCCUGUCUCCUCUCCUCUCCUCUGGCGCCAACUUACACGCAAUACACCCGAGCUGGCGAACUCCCCUCCGAUUCGCCGAACCAUCCAUCGGGCACGCCCCGCUCAUUCCCAAACCCCUCACGCCCCGCUCAUUCCACUCACACAAACACAAGCUUCCAUCCAGUUUUCCCCUCAUCAACGUUCUUCUAGCUAGCUGGUUGAGUGAGCUUGCUUUCGGGAGCAAGAAAGACAUGGCUCGCAUGGCGGCGUCGGUGCUAGCGAUCUUGCUAGCCUCUUGUGCCCUGGCGGCGGCGAGCUUCGACAAGGAGUUCGACAUCACCUGGGGCGACGGGCGCGGCAAGAUUCCGAACAACGGCCAGCUCCUGACGCUGGGGCUGGACAAGGUGUCUGGCUCCGGGUUCCAGUCCAAGCACGAGUACCUGUUCGGCAAGAUCGACAUGCAGCUCAAGCUCGUCCCCGGCAACUCCGCCGGCACCGUCACCGCCUACUACGUAAGCGACCAACAUAUCCAUUCAUUCCUCUGCUUCUCUUUUAUUAGAUGACACGGUUGCCUAACUUGAUCGGUUUGCUGUGUAUGAAUGUGCAGCUGCCGUCGCAGGGUCCGACGCACGACGAGAUCGACUUCGAGUUCCUUGGCAACGUCACCGGCGAGCCGUACACGCUGCACACCAACGUGUUCACGCAGGGGCAGGGCCAGCGGGAGCAGCAGUUCCGCCUCUGGUUCGAUCCUACCAAUGACUUCCACACCUACUCCAUCCUCUGGAACCCCAAGCACAUCAUGUAAGUUGGUUCAUCGCCAUUGCCCAACCUUCGUUUCUCAUUCUGUGCUUUGUGCAGCGCUGACCGAUCCUGGUGUACUUCAAUGCAGCUUCAUGGUGGACGACAUGCCAAUCAGGGACUUCAAGAACCUUGAGGGAAAGGGCAUCGCCUUCCCCAAGAACCAGCCCAUGCGACUCUACUCCAGCCUCUGGAACGCCGACGACUGGGCCACGCAGGGCGGCCGCGUCAAGACGGACUGGUCCCACGCCCCAUUUUCCGCCUCCUACCGCGGAUUCAAGGCCGACGCGUGCGUGGUGACCGCGGGCGGCCGGCCUCACAGCGGCGCCAUUUUCGGCACGAAGGUCGCCCCCGGCACAGGCGCGGCGGGCGAGUGGUACAACCAGGAGCUGGAUCUGACGCGGCAGCAGCGAAUGCGGUGGGUGCAGAGCAACUACAUGAUCUACAACUACUGCACCGACCCCAAGCGCUUCGCCAAGGGCGUCCCCGCCGAAUGCUCCAUGUAGUCCACAUGUGGAAUCGCCGGAGGAAGACGACCGGAGAUGUGUAGUGUAGCCGCUGGUCAUUUACGCCCAGUUCAUGUAAUUGUGCUCACGCCCAACUCGUGUGUAAUAUAUUGUCUCCUCGUACGUUCAUUACCUGUAUGCUGUUCUCUGCUCACCUUUCAAAACUGAAAGUCUGAAACAUUCGGUUUGAUGAGAAGACCUAUCCACGAUUGGAUUGGCACACGAAAAUCAUUUUGUUCUGCCUUGGACCAUUGGGUACGGUGCAUGCAUCGCCACCUACGGUGCAUGUCCCGCUACCUAAGGUGACGGGAGAUCGGCCAGUGCAGGGCAUGGCGCACGGCCACUGACCGCAAGGCGACACGAAGCGCGAUAGAGGAAAGGACAAUGGCCUCCCUUCGUAAUGAUCCGUCAGGUCCCAGCUAGCUGCACCUGCGCGCCCUACGUACGUCUUCUUCACUGCCACACUGGCCGAUGGGGAAAUGCGUGUACGUUCGAAAUUGAUCAGGUUGCAGUCUUGCAGCUCUACAGUUGGGAAAUAUAUGGUGAUACCAUCACUCCAAAAAUUUAAGCUUAAAUGUUUCAAAAAAUUCCAAAAAAAUUAAGAAUGUUCACAACACAUAUAUCAACGACCCCUAAAAAUUUCAGACCCAAAUUCAUAUUGUAUAUUGAGAAAAAACAGAAAUUCAACACCAAUAGUUUCAAAAACGACAAAAACAUGAUUAGUGUCAAAAACUGCACUAUUCACAUCUGGUUUUGCCUUUUUUUUUCGCUUUGUGUACUUUAAAUUUAGAUAUGAAAUUUUUAGGGGCUAUAUACAUAUGUGUUGUGAACAUUCCUCUGUCGUUAUUGACACCAGUCCACACCGCCACCCGAAUGGUGGCCAUACAUGUCUCCUCCUCUUCGGCUCCCCGCUCCUCCCCCCUCUGUCUCCUCUUCUUCUCGAUCACCAUCGCUUGUAUGCUGCCGGGCGAAGCCCGGUCGACAUCGGCGGUUGUGGGUAAUUCCUCCCUCCCUUGUGCUUACCCGAUCGAUGUGACGUGGGCGGUUGUAGGUAUUUCCUCCCUCCCUUGUGCGGUAGGGGUGGCCCGGGACGGGCUGCCCGGCAAAUGCGUCAUGCUAGGUGUCGGGAUCCUAUGGUCCAAAUGGUAUAUAUCGAUAAGAAAUUUCCUUUACAGUACAAUCUUUCACUUUGGUCUAAAUUAAUUCCUUUGUUUCGGAAGAGCCCUAAACCAAUAGACCUCCUUUAAGUGACUAUCUGCGCGAUUGUAUGCAUGCCUCCAAAACGACACACUUUGUAAACAUGCACGCUUGAAGGGAGAUAGGAUUUUUUGUAAUCAUCUUAGUAUGACUGCUCAUCUUCGUUCAAUACUUCUCCGAUCGAGCCAUGUUUGGAUAAUGAUGCUUCAAAGAGUACGAUCUAUUGGUUCUUGCAUUAGGUAUACAUGUGAAGUUCAUAGAUAUGAUGGUUCUAUGUUUCGUCUGCACUCGCACUCGCAUGACUAGAUUACUUUACAUGAUAUUGGUAACACUACUUUCAUGAAGUUAGUCUAGAUAAAAUUUAUUAGACAAUACUCCCUCCGUCCGGAAAUACUUGUCAUCAAAAUGGAUAUAAGGGGAUGCAUCUAGACGUAUUUUAGUUCUAGAUACAUCUCUUUUUAUCCAUUUUGAUGACGAGUAUUUUCGGACGGAGGGAGUACUAAUUAUUUCAACAAGUCAUUAGUUCCGGUACCAUACAGAAUUUCACUCAUCAAUUGACCAAUUUAUCCAAAAGCGGGCAAUGUGUAUCGGAGAAGAGGAGCACCAAUUUUGCAAGAACGAGUAACGGUUAAAUUAGGGCGUGGCUACAUGGCAGUCGUCUGAAAAAAAAUUGAGGUCAAUCUAUUUUUUCAACCGCCCGAUGCGAAAUUAACAGCCCCGCUUUCUUCUUCAACCUCCCGCUUUCUUCUCUCUUCUCCACGCUGAACCACCCUGCCGCCGCAGGCCAAACUGCAUGUGAUCACCACCGCGCAGCCUUGCCAUUCGCCCUCCCCAGAACCAUCCCCUACCGCCGGUCUUGCCGCCGCCCCCGGCCAUCCCUCCAGCCCCGACACCGACGGAGAUUUUCUCUGGCGAAGUUGCACCACUGCCCCACCACCGCCGUUCUUCCACCCCCACCCCUUACCCUAAGAUAGAUAAUAGGGUAGCCCUCCGCCGAGCUCCUUUCUUCUCCUUCCUUCCCUCCGGCCUCCCUUCGGCGAACUCUCGAAAUCCACUGACCCCAACGACUCACAUUUUGCUAAUGUGAUUUAAUUACACCGCUCCAUUAUUGUUCCUCUUUUUUUAGGAAACUCCAUUAUUGUUCCCUAGUACACUUGCAUGGCAUGGUUGUUCUCCUCGAGGCUCAAACAGAUCCAUAACCGGUGGUCACUAACUCAUCCAAGAUCUUCCACAGCUGUUCACCAUAUUCUCUUAACUACCCUGUGAUUGCAAAUGAAAUGAUCAUAAUUAAAAGUAAGAGUCGGGGUGGGGAGAGUAGAGGAAAUACAUACACUCAUGCUGGUAAUUCCCGUCUCGCAUGCCCAGCCGCCUAGACGACGAUUACACUCACGGACCGGGUCGACGAUGACACACUCGUCGUGCAUGCCACAGCCGCCAGGACUGCCACCUCGGUCGCGUGGAUCUUUACACGAACCUGCCCCGGUACCACGCAUGGCCGGCGCAGGACAAUGCAUGUAAGUUUCAAGGUAACUGGAGACCGCUAUACCGAGCGAGUACGUGACACGGCUUGCUUGGGUUAUAGCACGGUUUGGACUGAUGAAUGAGUAUUGACUAGCCGGUUCCACUUUCAGCUUGUUCAGAUCUGUGACACUACGGGCACAGAGGAGGAAGGUUUGUUGUGCCUAUAUAAUUUGGGAGCUGGGGAUUCGGUGGCUCCGCGCGGUGUGCUAUGUAGAUGAAGGUGGCGAUGGUGAUUCGGUGGCUCCGCGCCUCGUUGGCCUGCCGUUGUUCCUUCGAUGAAGCUCCGUGCCCGCCUCGAUCUGCCACCGCCGCCAUAGGAUCUUUGCCCUCAUUCCUGGGCAAAAGGGGAUAAGGUCCCCUCUACUUUGGUGGUGAUAUGGUAUCUUGUGGAGCCAUGUGCUCCAGCAAAUCCUAUCCUUCGUUGGUGCUUGGUGUUGCCCAUUUUCGCCGUUCCUCGUGCUUCGGCGCCUUUAUCCGACAACUUUCAUGCGGCGAUAUGUCUUAGCGCAGCCGGCGACAGUGCUCGACGAGCACUGUUGAGCGACAAGUAAUUUCAAACGGAGAAGGAUGUCACAUGACUUUCAAUUUUUUUAUUAGUUUUGCUUACAAAAAAUUCAUUUCGUCUUCCACUAGCUAGCCCGGAUGCAUUUGGCUCACUGGAUGGUAAAGACAAUUUGGCUUGAUCUACUAUGCGACCGCGCCCUUGCCUCGAUGCCCGUGACCAAUGUUUGUUAUCAUGUGCACCCUUACUGGAGAGCACACCAUGUCCAUCAUCCACUGUGGCGGCGGCGCUGGCAUUUCAAAGAACGUAUAAUUCUAUUUCUCUUUGUUAACACAAAAAAAAUGAGGUCCUAGUAUUCUAGUUUCGCCCCAUGUCCCCAAAAUCUCAAGACUGGCCCUAGUGCUCGUGUGGACGACUACUCGUUCUUGUGGGGUUGCUCCUACUGCUUCUUCUUUGGCAACUUAGGCUCCAUUUGUCUGGGUUUUGGUGAACCACUCUGCUGGUCGCCGGUACAACAUCCUUCACUCUAGGGCCCUUUGCGGCGGCAAAGAUAGAUCAUGGUUUGGCCUCGGUUUGGCCCUUUGGGUGCAGUAAGCGACCGGAUCCAUGCUCGAUAUGUCGUCCUCGCUUGGCCUUAGUUUGGUUUGCGGUGUUGGUCAUAGCGGUGGUCGAUGACAAUGGCGCUUGUUCUUGCCGCUGCCUUCGAGUUAUUCUUCAUGUGCAUCUUGUAUCAUCCACUAAUCUGGCGCUCUUGUACUCCUGACCGAUUAAUGGCAUUGUUAAUGCAAAGCUGGGCUUUGGUCAUUCCUCUAAAAAAAUUAACAUUUUUAGUGGCCUAAUUCUUAGUCGAAUGAGAAUGAAUUAUUCGAUUAUACUCAUCGCCACAUUUCGAGCGUGCGACGACGCCCUUGCUCUGCCCUGGCAGAGCUGAAAGCAGGGCCCGGGUCGCCCACGCACCAUGACGAGAUCGAUCAUCGACCCGUCAGCGUCAGCGCCACCUAGAAGGCAAACUCGCCCGCGGGGAUCUGUGCACGAACAUUACUCCGGUGCCACCUACGUGCGCAUAGCCGGCGCAAGGCAAUGCAUGUGGUCUCUUGUAUAAACUGCUACAACGUGACACCGACACGUACGGUCGACUUGUUUGGGUUAUCACGGUUUUGGCCGAUGAGUGGCUAGCCGGCCGGUUCGAUCUUGUGCAGAUCUGCGGUAUUACUUUUACUGGCGUUCGCCUCAAAGGACGAAGGUCGUUGUGUCCAUAUAAAUAUAAUUUUUUUUUGAUGUCAACAUAUAAAUAUAAUUUGGGAGCCAGGUACAAUCAUAUCCGGCCGCUGAUGAUUAACAGCGAUUACGACUGCUGAUGAUUAACACGGCCCACGAAUGAAUGAACGUCGCCGGUGCACGCACGUACAUGCAUAAUGCAUUGCAUGGCCCCGGCUCGAGCCGGACGCGUACAAUUGAAGGCGUGCAGCGGAGCGCAUCCCAUGCGCCGGCAGGGGUCUAUGUCCCCAACGCCGGGCCUGCUUAAUGGCGAUCUAAAGAGCAGCCGUACGCGCCACCUUAGGUCCACUUGAAUUCGCCACACCGGCUCGAUCGACCCAUCCAGUCCAUGCGCCAACUCGCCCUUGGCCUCAGGCUUCCAUCUCUCUAGAUCUCCCUGGCUGCGCUGUGCCGAUCGAGCUAGCUGGCGCGCGUACGACGGAUCAAAUGAUUUCCAAGUUCCAACCCCACCCUUUCCAUGGGAAAAAGUCCAUUUUAAACCUUAAACUCGUAGAGGUUCGGCGAAACAAACCCUCAAGUCGAAAUCCCGGUCGAUUGCACCCUGAACUAUGCAAUCCCGGUCUAAACUGAACCCUGGAGUCGUUUGGCAAACCAGGAUCAACAACGUGUCACAGGAUGGCCGGGAUUGGUGCCAUUUCGCGGCACUGUUGGGCCGGCCCGCUUUAGUUUUCUUUUUCCUUCUUUUAAAACGUGCAGUUUUUUUAUUCUUUAAAACUGCAAAAAAAGAGAACGUAGGGUUACACGAACCCGUGACCUGCUGCUGUUAGUCGACGGAAGUAACCACCAGAACAGCACAUCAUUGUUCAAUUUCUCCCUGUUUCCUCUUUUUCUUCUUUCUUUUUCGGUUCUUUUUCUGUUCUUUUUAUUUAUAUUUUUCGUUUUUAAUUUUUUGUUAAAUUCGUGGACAUCUUAGUAGGGAAUACCAAACGAAAAAAAACCUCGUGAACCAAUUUUUCAAAAGGAAAAAGGCCGCGGUUUUUUUAUAAAAAUUUCAUGUAUUUAGAAAAAAUUCAAAUGUUUUGAAAAGAAGUUCACAAAUUUUCAAAAGAAAAGUUCUCAGAAUUUUGAAAGAAGUUGUAAAAAUGAAAAGAGUUCGUGGAUUUGAAAAAAGUCCACAGAUUCAAAAAAAAGUCCACGAGUUUUGUAAAAAAAUUCACGCAUUAGAUAAAAACGAAAAAAGCUAAGAAAUUGGAAUAAAUUAUUCAGAAGAGGAGAGGUGGUGUGGUUGGUAAGGACAGUUUUUUGCACCCUACGUUUUGUACGGAAGUUCACAAAUUUGGAUAAAUUUUCAUCAAAGUUAGAAAAAGUUCAUCAAAUUUGAAAAUAUGUUAGUCGACUUGAAAAGUUCAUCAAAUUUAGAAAAUUUUCAUUAUUUUGAAAAGUUCAUGAAUUCAAAAGAUUCGAAAAAAAGUUCACAGAAACAAAAAAAUUCAUAAACUCAAGAAAAGUUCACGAAAUUGAAAAAAGAAGAAAAACGGCCAAAAAAAGCAAACAAGCUGUAAUCUAGCACAAAAAAAUGAGCGUUGUUAAAAAUAAAAUAAAAGAAUAAAUUAUCACGAAGCGGAUGCUGUCCAUGGGGUACGUACGGGUCUACCACACCAGCUACUACGUGCGUGUGUAGGCCACAGAUCGCCAAAUAACUUGGCCUCACACGUCAGACACGUUACGUUUGCUAGGCUGUACACUAGCGUUGAGGAACGGGGCGAGGGUUCUGAAUAUCCAUCCGACGACGGUUUCCAUUACCGCGUCUCCUAUACGUACGUACAUGGUGCGUACUGUUCCGUGGGUUGGUGGGACUGGCCGGGCACUGCAGUUUGUUCCACGUCUGAGUUUGCACGGAGUAGAUGGAGUGGAUAUCCAUAGAGGACGGGCGUACAAAUGUACGAGCAUCAUCUCAUCUAGCUCGAGAGUUUUCUUUUAUUAAAAAAUACCAACAUGCUAAUCUAGCCCAGGUUGGUCUCACUUUUUUUUCAUCUAGCUCCAGAGCGCGGCCGCUUAGAUUAGAAAACGUAAAGCUUUUUUUUUUUGGCGAAUGAGAAAGGGUAAAUCUACUUUGAGUACAGGUAGUAUGUCAAAUGUCAAAGCCAGGACGCGGCGGAUCAGACAGCUGGGGUGGUCAUGCUGAAGAACAAUGCAUCGAGGCUGAUGUGUAUCUGUGCUGUGAGUCAAAGCGAGGGGGCACACUAAAGGAGAUGUCGUCCUCUUCCUCUCCCGCAAUGCUAGCCUAGUUCUACCCUCCUCCCCUGCGUGGGAACUUUAUCUUUUGAUGCUCAUAUGUGAGCGAUUCUCUGGUACUUCUGCUGAUAGGCUCUGUCGUAGACUGUUUUACUAAGUGUCGUCGGGUUUUCGCCCUGCAGUGGGUAAUCUUGAUGGCGAGUGCUCACAGUGGAUUUCCCGAUGAUGUUCGAACCCACUUUCCCCUCCUCCGUCUCAUUCUCUGGACUUUGUAUUUCCGUUAUGUCACAUUAAUGGAAAGGGGUUAUGCCCGGUUCCAUAAAAAAAAGUAUAGGCAGUUUGUGUGUAUUGGGGUGAUUGUUGAUGAUAGACAUGCAUAUCCUGCUCCUGGGUAUAGAUGCACUCCACUGAACCGUAAAAUCUUAAAAAAUGAUAUAAUUCUUUUUGUCAACAACCAUUGUUGAGGGAUUCACCCAUGUGCAACUUUUUGCGAGGAAAUUUCGUUCGUAAUACUUUGGGGAUAGAAUCUAUGCUCAAAAAGAUUGUUUUGAAAACAUUUUUGGAGCACUGGUCUUUGUAGAGAUUUUUUUUCCGUCACAUAAAUAUGCACAAAGGUUAAAAAUAAGCAAUAUUUGAUAACAAGAAAAAACUUCCUAACUUUUCUUGGAUUUUACUCUUCAUGCCAACAACAUAUAAGUUCGGUUAUAGAAAAACAAUUCCAGGUGAAUGCAGUAGAUGAUUAGUUUGCUUGUGUGGCCUGCAGGCCUUGCUGGAGUGAAAUGAUAAUUCUGUCCACAAUCAUGCCCCACCUAGUAGUACAACUAAACAUGACAUCUACAUAAUAAGGGCAUCUUUGAUUUGCAGGAUUUGAAAACAUAGGAAUAGGAAAGGUAUAGGAUUGAAGUGGCAUACCCACUGAAUCCUAUAGGAUUAGCAAGAAACGUUUGAUGCCAUAAGAAAAAGAUAGGAAUUAUAAAAAAAGUUGGAGUGGAUGUUAGUUUCCUAUAUAAAGUAUAGUACAAAAGAUUCAAUAGAAAAAUUCCUAUAUAAUUUUACGAGAUAUGUAACGUCCGAACGUUCAGAUCUUGGUAACUGCCCUUUUUUCGCUCUAUCUUGGGAAACUCCCGUGAUUUUCUCGCACGAGCAUUCGGUAACUGCCUUUUUUUGCUAUAUCUUUGGAACAAAAUUGCUAGACAUACAAAGACUUACACGUUUUUACACGCUCCUUCCAUCUAACAACCAAUCACAAACCUUCCCCCCCCCCUAAUUUUCAGGGGGGUGGGCCGCACCUAUUGAUCAAUCAAGGUUAACCAUCCUGUAAAAGCCUGUAAAUCGUUUGUACGUGUAGCAUUGCCGUCUUUGGAAACUCCCAUUUUUUCUCCCUAUAUUCGUUAACAAUCUUUUUUGCGAUCUAAAAAGUAAUUGAGCCCAGUUGCAAUCGAAGUUGGGUCUGCUAGCUUUUGUAUGAUGCCGAUGACCAACUUACCUGAUACCACUUUCAUGUCUUUUAAUUGGAAAACUUCCUAAAUGACCUUUUUUAAACCCCAUGGCAGCAAAAGAAAAGUUGUUUCUUUAUUGCUUGUUGGCCUUGUCUAGUACAUCAUUUCGUACUUGAUUAUACACUGUGGAAUUAGGCAUACAUACAAACAUUUUUGUUGGUAACUUUGACCCGAGGAAAAACAAGUUGUUGAAAGCAUGCCCCCCGGUAAGUUCUAUUUAAAUAUCAUGGUAUUUUACGCACCGCGGGCCUUGAUAACUUACGUAAAAACACUACGGUAACUUUGACUCGGGAUGAAAAUUUGUUAUGGAACAUCACACAGUACCCUGAUCCUGGUAACUUUGGCGCCGGGGGGAGGCAGGGGUGGUUGAUGAAAUAUCCCCUUGGUAACUUUUAUGUGAAUAACAUGGUAACCCACACAUCGCAGAUCUGAUAACUUAUGAACCUCGAUCCUAAUAACNNNNNNNNNNNNNNNNNNNNNNNNNNNNNNNNNNNNNNNNNNNNNNNNNNNNNNNNNNNNNNNNNNNNNNNNNNNNNNNNNNNNNNNNNNNNNNNNNNNNNNNNNNNNNNNNNNNNNNNNNNNNNNNNNNNNNNNNNNNNNNNNNNNNNNNNNNNNNNNNNNNNNNNNNNNNNNNNNNNNNNNNNNNNNNNNNNNNNNNNNNNNNNNNNNNNNNNNNNNNNNNNNNNNNNNNNNNNNNNNNNNNNNNNNNNNNNNNNNNNNNNNNNNNNNNNNNNNNNNNNNNNNNNNNNNNNNNNNNNNNNNNNNNNNNNNNNNNNNNNNNNNNNNNNNNNNNNNNNNNNNNNNNNNNNNNNNNNNNNNNNNNNNNNNNNNNNNNNNNNNNNNNNNNNNNNNNNNNNNNNNNNNNNNNNNNNNNNNNNNUAUGUGCCUCCGUCUUGGUGAGGGGGGUGAUAAAAUACACACACGGUAACUUUAAUGUUAAUAGCAUGGUAACUCACACAUCACAUACCUAAUAAGUUAUGUACCCUGGUCCUGGUAACUUUGGCACCGGGCCGGGGGGUGGGGGGGUGGGGCAGGGUGGUUGUUGAAAUAUCCCCUGGUAACUUUUAUGUGAAUAGCAUGGUAACUCACAUAUCGAAGACCUGAUAACUUAUGUACCUCGGUGCUGAUAAAUUUAGCAGGGGAGGGGUUGAUGAAAUAUCUCCCCGGUAGCUUUUUAUGUGAAUAGCUUGGUAACUCACACAUCAUAGACCUGAUAACUUAUGAGUCUCUGUCCUGAUAACUUUGGCGAGGGGGUUGUUUAAAAACAUACACUCAAAAACUUGCAUGUAAAUAGUUUGAUAUUAUAUUCAUCGUAUACGUGAUAACUCACGCACAAACACCACGGUAACUUUAACCCGAGCUGUUAAGAAGGUUAGAGAAACCAGGUUUAUGCACAACAUGGUAACAUAUGUAGCACAUAUGUGAUAACUUACUUGGCCUAGAAGUGGUAACUUUUGAUCUGACAAAAGUCGUCCGAACAUAUCAACAUGUGAUCUAGUUUUGAAACUCUUUUCAUGACGGAUAUUUUAUGUGAAAAUGAUUUUCCGAUCGGACCGGCGAUUUGAGCUAACAUUUGGAAGUUUUGAAAUAGGGGAAUAUCUAGGAUUGCAUCAGCUAUUGUGUCUUCUACUUCAUUUGCACGUGGAGAGAAGGUUGCAGGAUCAUUUUUAUGCCCGGUAAUUCCUAUAUAACAAGUUGUAACUUAGUUAUCACAGACGUGAUAACUUACUUAGCCUGGGCCUGGUAACUUUUGACCCUAAAAAGAGUCGUUGAAACAUAUCAAUAUGGGAUCUAGUUUUGAAGGUCUCAUCGCGAAAAAUCUUUUAUGUGAAAUCAUUUUUUCAAUCGGGUUGACGGUCUGAGCUACAAAACAUUUUGAAGUUUUGAAAUAUGGGGGAAUUUAGGAUGACAUCAGCUAUUAUGUCAUGUAGUUCAUUUGCACGUGGGGAGAAGGUUGGUUGAUAUUUUUAUGCCCCGGCAAUUUCUAUAUAAACAAGAUGAUAACUUAUGAACCAAAGACGUGAUAACUUACUUAGUGUGGGCGUGAUAACUUUUGACUCAAAAAAAAAAGUCAUCGGAACAUAUCAAUAUGGGAUCUAGUUUCGAAGGUCUCCUCGCGACGAAUAUUUUAUGUGAAAACGAUUUUUCAAUCGGAGCAACGGUUUGAACUAGAGAACAUUUUGAAGUUAAAAAAAGGAGGAAUCUAAGAUGACAUCAGAUUUUCGUUCUCUAGUGCAUGUAUGCAUGUAAUUAGAGGGAGUAGUGCACGUGAAAGAAAAAUUAGUCAUUCUAAUUCUUGUAUGCAUGUAAUUAGAGUGAAAUAAGGAUCGUUCUUGCCUAUUGCUAAAAUCCGAACAUUUGGUAUUUAUAAAAGUCCAUAAUUUUAUCCUAUGAAUCAGAGAACCAACAAAUGAAAAAUCCCUAAAAAUUUCAAUCCUCGAGAAAUCCAAUAGAGUUCCUUUGAAUCGAAAGAGCCCUAAGUUGUGAAAAUCAAGUCAAGUCAACAAAAUCUAGUCAUUUACUACGAAACAAAAGGAAUAGAAGACUAAAAGGGCUGUUUGAUUGGAGUCUACUGGUGCCACAUUUGUUUAGCGGCACUUGCGGCGCGCCACAUAGUGUGGCGCUGAAAACGAGCGCCACGGAGUGUGGCAAAAAAUCAACUACAAAAAACACUGCGUGUCCAUGGCAAGCCUAACUUUAGGAAGCAAUUCCGUUUUUAAAAAAAACUUUAGGAGGCAACCAAACGGCGGCCGAGGGAGCUGUGGCGCGCCGCACCUUUGGCGUGGCAAGGUGCGGCCGGCAACCAAACAGCCCCUUUGUUAUGCAGAAGUAGCGGAAUAGCAUCAGCAAUGAAAGCCCCGGUGUCAACACGAAUGAGUGCCGGUAGCAUACCAUCGCGAUGAUCCCGUAGAAUCGCAUCUUUUUUUGUUGUUGUUCAAUAACCGUAGAAUCUCAUGUUGGGACAAUUCGGAAAGAGAACCAACACGUCCACAGUUUUUGACAUACCGUAGGAAGAAGAAAAAGCUGACGAUCCAUCCCCUGCAUAUAUCGCUGCUUGGUCCUCCAUGCUUUCUCUCUCUCUCUCUAGUGACACAGGGCCAUCCCAAACGCCGUUGCAUCCAGAAAUCUGCUGCACGUCUCGAUCGGUUUUAAUGUGCUACUGUACGUACGCGAGCCUGUCUGCCUGUGGCAUCGCCGUGCCAACCCUCUCAUUGUCCAUCACAAGCUACGUACAGAGCCUGUCUCCUCUGGUCUGGCGCCAACUCACACGCACUACACUGACCGGGCUGGCAAAGUUCGCAGAACCAUCCAUCCAUUCGCCACGCCACGCUCGUCUCCAAACCCCUAUAUAAACCCCCUCACGCCCCGCCCAUUCCACUCACAGCUUCACACAAACACAAGCUUCCUUCCAUCGAGCCUUCUCCUCAUCAACCAAUUUUCUAGAAUCUCCAAUCCUAGGGCAUAUGAUCUUCUUUGUUGCGUAUGUACUGUCGGGCAAUUCGUUAUCCUUUGGAAGCUUCUUCUUUAAUAUUUUCAGUAGCUUCUCAAAUCCUUUGCCAGGCACAGCAUUCUCUGCCUUUCACUGCAGCAAUUCCAGUACGGUACCGAGCUUUGUGUUGCCAUCUUCGCAAUUGGGGUACAACCCUUUUUUGUGGUCCUCUAACAUGCGAUCGAACUUCAUCUUCUCCUUUUGACUUUCACAUUGCGUCCUUGCAUCGACAAUGACCCGACGGAGAUCAUCAUCAUCGGGCACAUCAUCUGGUUCCUCUUGAUCUUCAGUAGCUUCGCCCGUUGCAGCAUCAUCGUGCACAUCGUCUGGUUCCUCUUGAUAUUCAGUAGCAUCACCGUAUUCAGGGGGCACAUAGUUGUCAUCGUACACUUCUUCUUCGCCAUCUUCCAUGAUAACCCCUAUUUCUCCGUGCCUCGUCCAAACAUUAUAGUGUGGCAUGAAACCCUUGUAAAGCAGGUGGGUGUGGAGGAUUUUCCGGUCAGAGUAAGACUUCGUUUUUCCCGCAUAUAGGGCAUGGACAACACAUAAAACCAUUCUGCUUGUUUGCCUCAGCCACUUCGAGAAAAUCAUGCACGCCCUUAAUGUACUCGGAGGUGUGUCUUGAACCGUACAUCCAUUGCCGAUUCAUCUGCAUGCAUUAUAUAUAAUUAAGUGUGUCAAAAAUCAUUACAGAACAUCAUGAAUAGAUAAUUAAGUGACCAAAUUAAUGGAAGUUCAUCAUCACAUUAAAACCAAAGUACAUACAUAGUUCUCAUCUAACAACAUAAAGCUCUGUAGAGCAUCUAAAUUAAUUAAACCAUACACUGAAACUAUGUAAAACAUUUCAAUGCGAAAACAAAUGCGAUCAUAAUCGCAACCAAUGUAACAACUGAUCCAACGGCAUAAUGAUACCAAGCCUCAGUAUGAAUGGCAUAUUUUUUAAUCUUUCUAAUCUUCAAGCGCAUUGCAUCCAUCUUGAUCUUGUGAUCAUCGACGACAUCCGCAACAUGCAACUCCAAUAUCAUCUUCUCCUCCUCAAUUUUUCUAAUUUUUUCCUUCAACAAAUUGUUUUCUUCUUCAACUAAAUUUAACCUCUCGACAAUAGGAUCGGUUGGAAUUUCCGGUUCAACAACCUCCUAGAUAAAUAAAAUCUAUGUCACGUUGGUCGACAUAAUUGUCAUAAACAAUAAAUUAACCAAUAGUUAUGAAAAGAUAAUAUAUAUACCACAUCCGAAUCAUAGACAGGACGAGGGCCGACGGGGGCGGAUACCAAAACCAUCACACUAUAUAAGAUGCAAUAAUAAAAGUAAGAAAAUUAUACAAGUAUCUAUAUAAACAUACAAGAAUUUUUUUUUCCUUUCAGAAAGAAGAUAAGAACAAGAGGCUCACCACGGUGGUGCCGGCGACGAGAUCAGCGCGGGCGAUCGACGGCGGUGAAGACGGGGAUGGGACGUGACGGACCGCUAAACCUAGACAAAUAUUGAGGAAAAUGGAGCUUGGAGGUCAAGCUUGAAGAGGAGAAAGCUUAAGUAGUGUGGCUCGGGCAUUCCAUCGAACACCUAGUGUGCAUAGGAGGUGAGCUAGAGCACCACAAAGCUCUCCCCUCGCCGGCGACGAAAAACAGAGCAGUGGGAGUGCUCUGCUCGCGGGCGAGGGGUAUAUAUAGGCAACUAAUUGGUCCCGGUUCGUGGCCAGAACCGGGACUAAAGGGCAACCUUUGGUCCCGGUUCAAGCCAUCAACCGGGACCAAAGGGGGCGGGCCAGGAGCGAGGCCCAUUGGUCCCGGUUAGUCCCACCAACCGGGACCAAUAGGUCCAGCCGAACCGGGACCAAUGGCCCACAUGGCCCGGCCGGCCCCCGUGGCUCUCCAACCGGGUCCAAUGCCCCAUUGGUCCCAGUUCUGGAUUGAACUGGGACUAAUGGGCUGGCCCGGCCUGAACCAUUGCCUCCUUUUUUUAUUAGUGAUCUCGAAAUCCACUGACCCCAACGACUCACAUUUUGCUAAUGUGAUUAAAUUACACUGCUCCAUUAUUGUUCCUCUUUUUUUAGGAAACUCCAUUAUUUUUCCCUAGUACACUUGCACACUUGCAUGGCAUGGUUGUUCUCCUCGAGGCUCAAACAGAUUCAUAACCGGUGGUCACUAACUCAUCCAAGAUCUUCCACAGCUGUUCACCAUAUUCUCUUAACUACCCUGUGAUUGCAAAUGAAAUGAUCAUAAUUAAAAGUAAGAGUCGGGGUGGGGGGAGUAGAGGAAAUACAUACACUCAUGCUGGUAAUUCCCGUCUCGCAUGCCACAGCCGCCUAGACGACGAUGACACUCACGGACCGGGUCGACGAUGACACUCUCAUCGUGCAUGCCACAGCCGCCUAGACGGCCAGCUCGGCCGCGUGGAUUUUUACACGAACCAGCCCCGGUACCACGCAUGGCUGGCGCAGGACAAUGCAUGUAAGUUUCAUGGUAACUGGAGACCGCUAUACUGAGUGAGUACGUGACACGGCUUGUUGCUUGGGUUAUAGCACGGUUUGGACUGAUGAAUGAGUAUUGAGUAGCCGGUUCCACUUCCAGCUUGUGCAGAUCUGGGACACUACGGGCACAGAGGAGGAAGGUUGUUGUGCCCAUAUAAUUUGGGAGCUGGUAGCCUGGUACAAUUAUACGGCUGCUGAUGAUUAUCAGCAAUUACGGCUGCUGCUGCUGAUUGACACGGUGCAAGGCCCACGAAUGAAUGAACGUCGCCAUUGUGCACACACACGUACAUGCAUCGCGUUGCAUGGCCCCGGCCGGAGCCGGACGCGCUCAGUUAAGGCGUGCGGCGGAGCGCAUCCCAUGCGCUCGGCAGGGCCAGGUCUAGAUCCGAGAUCAAGUCCCCAACGCCAAGCUUGUUUAAUGGCGACUGAAGAAGCAGUCGUACGCGUCGUCUUUCAGCUCCACUUGAAUUCGCUACACCAGCCCGAUCGUUCUACUACUACAUGCUCGAAGUCGCCAUUGGCCUCUUGCCCUCUAGGUCUAGCUAGUAGCUACUAGUACCGUCUAGUUUGAUCUCCUUGGCUGUGCCGAUCGAGCUUAGCUGGCGCACGUACGGUCGAUCGAGUUGAUCUGCAACCCUCUUCAUGGCGUGCUACCAGCCACUGCGUGCGCGUGCCACAAAUAUUUUGGCCUCACACGGCAGGCACGUUAUGGAGUAGGCGGUACUGUAGUAACGCCGAGGAACGGGAGGGGAGUUUUGAAUGUUCGACAAGGGUCUGGAUUUUGUAAAUGUUCUUGCUCUGUGUAGGCGCCGUGGUGAUCUAGAGGACAAUACUGCGUCUCCCACAUGUCCGGCCUGUACUGCAAUUUGUUCCACGUCUGAUUUUGCACGGAUGAGGAGAUAUGAAUAGAUGACCCGCGUACAAAUGUGCGAGCGUCGCCUCGUCUAGCUCGAAAGCGUGGCCAAUUCCUCGGAGUACUCCGUCCCUACUCCCCAUAUUAGUUUUGUCUUACUUAUAUCAAAGUUUUUAAAGAUUGACCGAGUUUAUACUGAAAAAUAUCAAAACUCGCAGUAACAAAUCAAUAUCAUUUGAUCCAUCAUAGAAUAUAUAUUCAUAUAGUAUUUAUUUGGUAUUAUAAAUGUUUCUAUUUUUUCUAAAAACUUUGUCAAAGUUUACAACAUUUGACUUAAAACAAACCUAUAUGCGGAUUUACUUGUCGCUCAAACAGAUGUAUCUAGCACUAAAUUACGUCUAAUUUUUGGUGCAUUUUUUUUACUUGCAUGCAGUUUCCUUUGAAAAAUCUAUGCUGUACAAUUAGGUUUGGAACCGACUAAUAAUUAAGGAGUCCCCUGAAGUUCUAAUUGGGCCCGUCAAUGUUUUUACCGUGUCCAACAAAGAUAGCUCAGCUGCACGGUGAGAAACCAAGGAAGAAAGGAUGCGUACGUGGAGGUGCAGCUCGAUUGGAUGCGCACAGACGGUGAAUUGGUUCACGUACCUUGCUUGUACGUGGUUAACUUGCGUGUUUCUCUAGACUAAUGAAUAUUCACACUAGUGGAGCUAGCACAUGACAAUGAGAGCAAAGGAAAAACAAAGAUAAAAUAAUGUUUUGUAAGGAAAAAUGAAUCAUGAGAGUGGAUUAACGCUAAAUUAAAACACACAAAUUUGGAAAGGGAAAAAAUAUUAUGCAACUAUGUGUAACAUAACAUAACAUAAAAACUUCUAUAGUAAUAUACUAAAAUAAAAAUUAAAAUGGAGUUUUUUAAGAAAUAAUGAAUUAGUGACAUCCGUAUUACCAAAAAAAGAAGGGAAAAAUAAAUAAAUAAGUCAAAUUUUGCACACAAUUUACCCAUAAACUGCAUCUUUUAUAAUAUGCAAGAAUAAGCAUAAGGUAAUGGAAUUUUUUCAAAAAAAAAUUUCCAAGAAGAAAUAAAUUGGUGGCAUUAGUAUUACCCUUGCAAAGAAAGGAAAUGAAAUAAAAACUAAAAAAUCAAAAUAAUAAAGUUUUCUCAAAAAAAUAAAGAAUUAGUAGCUUUGGUAUUACCCUUUGAGAAGAAAGAAAAACUGACAAAAUUUGCACAUAAUUACUCCUAAUUUACGCUUUUUAUAAAAUAUGGAAGAACAAAAUUUGCACACAAUUUACAUGGAAAUUAUACAUUUUUUAUGAUAUGCAAAAAUAAGCAUACAAUAGUGGACUUUUUUUGCAAAAAAAAAAGAAUAAGGAAUGAACUAGUGGAAUUGGUUUUACCCUUCAAGAAGAAAGAAAUUGGGUAAAAAAUAAAAUAAAAUCAAUGUAGUAAGUUUUCUAAGUGAGAGUGAAUUAAUGUCAUUUGUACUUUCUAAAAUGCUAGAAUAUUCACAAAUAAGGAAUGAACUAGUGGAAUUGUAUUACCCUUAAAGAAGAAAUAAAAUGAAAUAAAAAAUACAAUUACUAUAAUUUACACACAUAUUGUGGCGCUCUUUGACUUUUUUGGUCUUUAUCGUACAACUUUGACUAUAAUUUUUAGUUAUUGUAUGUCCACUAAAUUUUUAUAAAUGUACAUUAAAUAAAAUUGUUUUACAGGAAAAAUACAACAUUGCCAGUUAUACAUAUUCAAUCCAUGAAAAGUUGUGCAUGAAAGACCGUGAAAAGUUAAGCGUGUGUUACAUUUUGGGAAAGAGGGGAGCACUUGUGUGCAUACUUGCACAUAUAAAAUAAGAACAAUAUGUUUUCCCUGAAAGAAUGAAUUACUGGCAUUAGUAUUACUCUUUAAGAAGAAAGAGAGAAAAAAAUAGUGAAUUAUUUCCACAUAACUUAUAUAUAAAUUGUGUUUUUAUGAUAUGCAGAACAAGCAUAUAAAAGUGUAAUUUUCGCAAAGAAAAAGUUUUUUUAGAAUGAAUGGAUUAGUGGCAUUGAUACUACCCUUAAAGUAGAAAGAAAAUGAAAUNNNNNNNNNNNNNNNNNNNNNNNNNNNNNNNNNNNNNNNNNNNNNNNNNNNNNNNNNNNNNNNNNNNNNNNNNNNNNNNNNNNNNNNNNNNNNNNNNNNNNNNNNNNNNNNNNNNNNNNNNNNNNNNNNNNNNNNNNNNNNNNNNNNNNNNNNNNNNNNNNNNNNNNNNNNNNNNNNNNNNNNNNNNNNNNNNNNNNNNNNNNNNNNNNNNNNNNNNNNNNNNNNNNNNNNNNNNNNNNNNNNNNNNNNNNNNNNNNNNNNNNNNNNNNNNNNNNNNNNNNNNNNNNNNNNNNNNNNNNNNNNNNNNNNNNNNNNNNNNNNNNNNNNNNNNNNNNNNNNNNNNNNNNNNNNNNNNNNNNNNNNNNNNNNNNNNNNNNNNNNNNNNNNNNNNNNNNNNNNNNNNNNNNNCUUAAAUUGUUUUUUAAUAUGCAAAGAAUAAGCAUAUAAUAGUGCAUUUUCGCAAACCAGUAAAAUUUACACACAUAUUAUAUAGUAUUUGUGCAUAUAAAUUUACACUCAUCUAACAUCCCAAAAAUACUAAUAAAGAAAAAAGAAAAACAAACCGAGGGUAAACGGACGAGCUAGUAGAGAGAUGGGUCGUUCACUGAGCUAAAAGAGAGGGAGAGAAGAAAAGGGUGAGUCACCUCAGUGGGCUAGAGAGAGGAGGGCACAUGAAUAAAGGGGUAAUGACCUUCCGCUCGUUAAGGAAGCGAUUGAUCCAAAAAAAAAGCCAUCAUUUAAAAAUAUUCAGCCCGAAAAAAGACAGCACCAAAAUAGGGGGAAAGAAGGAGCACGAAUCUUGAAGCAGCACAGACACAAAAAUCAACUGACCCAAAUCAAAUAUCAGGCACUUAUAUAUAUAGUUAAAGUGGCUUAAGUUUCUACACUUGAGAUUUUCUCAUGAAAGAGGCACUUGCAAAUAAACGCAAAAGGAUUGGAAGCGCCUGAGGAUGAAACCACCAUGUGUUGGUACCUAAAGAAUAGUCCAGACUGAAAAGGGAUUGUCAAGCCGUGACACGCAAUGACAGAACCAGCUCGUCCUCCACAGUUCCUGAAACUUCACAUACCGGAGGAAGAAGAAAAGGCUGAUCAUCCAUCCCCUGCUCAAGUGUCGUGUGCUAUGCCAUUUGCCUGCACAACACAGGGCCAUCUCAAACGCCAUGGCUGCAAAUUAGGAGAAGUUGCAUCCAGAAAUCUGCUGCACGUCUCGAUCGAUUUUAAUGUGUUACUGUAUGUACGCGAGCCUGUCUGCCUGUGGCAUCGCCGCGCCAACCUUCUCAUUGUCCAUCACGCGCUACGUACAGGGCCGUCCUGCCCGCCCUGUCUCCUCCCGUCUGGCGCCAACUCACACGCAUUACACUCACCGGGCUGGCAAAGUUCGCAGAACCAUCCAUCAGGCACGCCACGCUCAUCUCCAAACCUCUAUAUAAACCUCUCACGCCCUGCUCGUUCCACUCACACAAACACAAAGCUUAGAUCCAGCUUUCUCCUCCUCAUCAACCUUCUUCUAGCUAGCUAGCUACUCCAGUUGAGUGAGCUUACUUUCUGGAGCACGAAACGCAUGGCGGUGUCGGUGCUGGCGAUCCUGCUCGCCUCGUGUGCCCUGGCGGCGGCGAGCUUCGACAAGGAGUUCGACGUCACCUGGGGUGACGGGCGCGGCAAGAUCCUCAACAACGGCCAGCUCCUCACGCUGGGGCUCGAUAAGAUCUCCGGCUCCGGGUUCCAGUCCAAGCACGAGUACCUCUACGGCAAGAUCGACAUGCAGCUCAAGCUCGUCUCCGGCAACUCCGCCGGCACC
rnacentral:lncRNA from 1 species